UUCGUAGGGGGCUAGCGUUGUCCGGAAUCAUUGGGCGUAAAGAGCGUGUAGGCGGCCCGGUAAGUCCGCUGUAAAAGUCAAAGGCUCAACCUUUGAAUGUCAGUGGAUACUGCCGGGCUAGAGUCCGGAAGAGGCGAGUGGAACUCCUGGUGUAGCGGUGGAAUGCGCAGAUAUCAGGAAGAACACCAACGGCGAAGGCAGCUCGCUGGGACGGUACUGACGCUGAGACGCGAAAGCGUGGGGAGCGAACAGG
rnacentral:rRNA from 1 species